AGAAUCAACGCUGGCGGCGUGCCUAACACAUGCAAGUCGAACGAGAAAGGGGUAGCAAUACCCUGAGUAAAGUGGCGCACGGGUGAGUAACACGUGACUAACCUACCCUUGAGUGGGGGAUAACUGAGGGAAACCUGGGCUAAUACCGCAUAACACCUACGGGUCAAAGGAGCAAUUCGCUUAAGGAGGGGGUCGCGGCAGAUUAGCUAGUUGGCGGGGUAAUGGCCCACCAAGGCAGUGAUCUGUA
rnacentral:rRNA from 1 species